UGGUAAACCCAGGAUCUCCUGACAGAUAACAGGUGCGUCCUAGCAACCGACAAACAUCCGCAUUCCGUCAGUAUAUAUAACAGCGGGUGGUACAUUGGGGCAGGACAUUUAACUCAGCCACGAUGUUUGGACAAGGGAGCAGACCAAGAUUUGAAAUUCCCAAACCCGAUUUUACGACUGGGGGCAAGGGAUCAAGACCAAAUUUCCCGAACAUUCCCCGUCCAAACAAUGCACCUGCUCCCCGAGAUCCACCUCCGCCAAAGGCAGACGCAAGUGGGGACUGCACCAUCUCCUAACGCGACACACCCCAAAUCAACACAGUGUAUGUGAAACUUUCAACUGGAGCGUAUUGUGUGUGCGUUUGUUUCCAUGGCAACAAUGCUGCAUGAACCUUCAUCUGCCACUAUCAUAUUGUGGGUUCUCUUUAUGAAAUAAACAAUGAUCAAAACAUAGA